UACGGAGGGUGCAAGCGUUAUCCGGAUUUACUGGGUUUAAAGGGAGCGUAGGUGGGUCGGUAAGUCAGUGGUGAAAUCUUCGAGCUUAACUCGGAAACUGCCAUUGAUACUAUCGAUCUUGAAUUAUCUGGAGGUAAGCGGAAUAUGUCAUGUAGCGGUGAAAUGCUUAGAUAUGACAUAGAACACCAAUUGCGAAGGCAGCUGGCUACACAAUUAUUGACACUGAGGCACGAAAAGCGUGGGGAUCAAACAGG
rnacentral:rRNA from 1 species